GACAACCUGCCCUUAGGACGGGGAUAAACCCGGGAAACUGGGUAUAAUACCCGAUAGGUCUCGAUUGCUGGAAUGCAUCGAGAUUUAAAGCUCCGGCGCCUAAGGAUGGGUCUGCGGCCUAUCAGGUAGUAGUGGGUGUAGCGUACCUACUAGCCUACGACGGGUACGGGUUGUGAGAGCAAGAGCCCGGAGAUGGAUUCUGAGACACGAAUCCAGGCCCUACGGGGUGCAGCAGGCGCGAAAACUUUACAAUGCUGGCAACAGCGAUAAGGGAACCUCGAGUGCCAGGUUACAAAUCUGGCUGUCGAGAUGCCUAAAAAGCAUUUCAUAGCAAGGGCCGGGCAAGACCGGUGCCAGCCGCCGCGGUAACACCGGCGGCUCGAGUGGUAACCGUUAUUAUUGGGUCUAAAGGGUCUGUAGCCGGCCGGAUAAGUCUCUUGAGAAAUCUGGCAGCUUAACUGUCAGGCUUUCAGGAGAUACUGUCUGGCUCGAGGCCGGGAGAGGUGAGAGGUACUUCAGGGGUAGGGGUGAAAUCUUGUAAUCCUUGAAGGACCACCAGUGGCGAAGGCGUCUCACCAGAACGGACCUGACGGCAAGGGACGAAAGCUAGGGGCACGAACCGGAUUAGAUACCCGGGUAGUCCUAGCCGUAAACGAUACUCGCUAGGUGUCGGCCACGGUGCGACCGUUGUCGGUGCCGUAGGGAAGCCGUGAAGCGAGCCACCUGGGAAGUACGGCCGCAAGGCUGAAACUUAAAGGAAUUGGCGGGGGAGCACCACAACGGGUGGAGCUUGCGGUUUAAUUGGAUUCAACGCCGGG
rnacentral:rRNA from 1 species